rnacentral:rRNA from 1 species
AACGAACGCUGGCGGCAGGCUUAACACAUGCAAGUCGAACGCCCCGCAAGGGGAGUGGCAGACGGGUGAGUAACGCGUGGGAACAUACCCUUUUCUACGGAAUAGCUCUGGGAAACUGGAAUUAAUACCGUAUACGCCCUACGGGGGAAAGAUUUAUCGGGGAAGGAUUGGCCCGCGUUGGAUUAGCUAGUUGGUGGGGUAAAGGCCUACCAAGGCGACGAUCCAUAGCUGGUCUGAGAGGAUGAUCAGCCACAUUGGGACUGAGACACGGCCCAAACUCCUACGGGAGGCAGCAGUGGGGAAUAUUGGGCAAUGGGCGCAAGCCUGAUCCAGCCAUGCCGCGUGAGUGAUGAAGGCCUUAGGGUUGUAAAGCUCUUUCACCGAUGAAGAUAAUGACGGUAGUCGGAGAAGAAGCCCCGGCUAACUUCGUG